rnacentral:lncRNA from 1 species
AUGAUCUCCAGGUCCUGGGAUGGAGCCUCUCAUUGGGCCUCCUGCUCUGCAGGGAGUCUGCUUCUCGCUCUCCCUCUGCUCCUGCCCACUGCUCUUUCUGUCUCUCUCUCUCAAGUAAAUAAACAAAAUCUAGAAGAAGAAGAAGAAGAAGAAGAAGAAGAAGAAGAAGAAGGAGGAGGAGUCGUCGUCACAGUAAACCCUCCCAAUAGAGAAAGCUGUCGAGGAGGGAGCUCCACUCCUCACCUGCCAAAGGGGUGUCUGCUGCUUCGCCUGUGUUUUCUCAACACGGGUGCACACAGUUUGCACAGAGGUUCUUCUGGAAUCCUGAGGACAGCAUUUCAGUGCAACGAAGCACCAUCCUCCCCACCCAGGUACCCACGGUCAGCAAGCAUUUCGUGUUGAAAGCUGGACAGCAACGGUUAAUGGGCAGUAAUCCCAGGCCUAGUGCUGCAUGAAGUGCUGUCAGAUUAGGUCAGAGAAGGACAAAUGUCUCCUGACAUUCUGCAUUCUGCAUGCAUGCAGUUGAUUCAUGUAGAUGCUCCAGUCAUUCCUUCAGGCAGCCCGGGAAGGCGCCGGGGGUGAAGAGACACGAAGGCUCUGGAAUCUGAAACUAUGAGAUCAAGUCCAGCCUCUGUCGUGGACUUGCCAGGUGACCUUGGGUACUCAUUCCUCCUGAGCCUUACCCGGUAAAUGGGGGCGAGCCUUUGGGGUUGUGGCGGAUAUCUCCUUUACUGGAUUAUUGUGAGAAUGACUUUUGAGCAUACAUGUGAAUAACUCCUGUAAUCACUAACAUCCCCUAAAAUGAGAAAAGCCAAAGAGGAUGAGAACUGAGAAGCUGUGGCAUUUGGGGCUUGAUAGAUCAUUGAUUUUAUUGAAAGCAGAAACUUGAUUGAGGAGAGGAUGGGAACGUGCAAGCAGCAACUGGGGGCAGUUUUGUUCCAAGAAGUUUCUUGUGUAUUUGCCUCCCCAAAUACAUUAGGCUUUUAAAACAGAGACUGUAUUUUAGUUUUUGAAAAAUAUCUCAAGCUCCGCAACAGCGGUACAUACCAGGUUAUCCUGUAUGACUGGCUGCUUAAGAUUUUAGUUAAAUAAGUGUUGAUGACAAAAGAAAGAAUGAAAGAAGACAACAGCUUUAGGUGAAGCAGAAUCAAAGGAAGUUUUCCCAUCUGGAUUUUUAAAAAUUUUAUUUUGAACACGAAAGACCCCCUGAAUAUAUUAAUUGUAAGAGAGCGUGCUGGGAAAAAUAGGGGAGAUCAAAGAUAUUUCAGAGGUUCAGGAAUAUUUCAAAUGGUGGAGCAAGCAGAAGGAAAUGAGAUCAAGAAUAAAGGGGACGGCUGUACUGAAAGAAGCA